UAUGGAUUUACAAUGGCUAUGGAUUUACAAUGGCUAUGGAUUUACAAUGGCUAUGGAUUUACAAUGGCUAUGGAUUUACAAUGGCUAUGGAUUUACAAUGGCUAUGGAUUUACAAUGGCUAUGGAUUUACAAUGGCUAUGGAUUUACAAUGGCUACGGAUUUACAAUGGCUAUGGAUUUACAAUGGCUAUGGAUUUACAAUGGCUAUGGAUUUACAAUGGCUAUGGAUUUACAAUGGCUAUGGAUUUACAAUGGCUAUGGAUUUACAAUGGCUAUGGAUUUACAAUGGCUAUGGAUUUACAAUGGCUAUGGAUUUACAAUGGCUAUGGAUUUACAAUGAAGGAAAACUGAAGGGAAAAACAGCAAAUGAAAGCAGUCACACUUAAAGCAACAAAUCAGAAAAGGAAAAAAAAAACAAUGAAAAACCAAAAAUCACAAAAAGAAACAAACCAAGCCAAAAAGAAAAGAAAACCCAAGAGCACAGAGCACCCCAAAGCGCCUCACAGAAUGAACAACACACGAAAUAGGCAUUAAAAAAUGGAAAAAAAAAAGAGAAAAGCAACAACAAAAGGACACAUAUUUGACGAAACAAGAUAAGAAAUUUUCCAAAAACAGAACAAAAGAAAAAAAACAAAUGAAAGAAAAUCUAAAAUCGAAUCAUAAAACACAGAAAGCAAAAACAAAACAAAAGCACAAAACACAAGCACACACAAAAAAGUAGUUUUGCUACUCCAAAAGUGCAAAAACAGCUAAUCAAAAGAACCACAUUAAAGCAACAAAACCAAAGGCCCACUACAAACCAAAGGCCCACUACAAACCAAAGGCCCACAGAGUGCCCCACAGAAAAGAUCAGUGAAAAAACACAUGAGAAAAAACACACAACAUAGAAAUUAAAAAUGAGAAAAAAUUAACAAAAAUUGCAGAACCAAACAGCAAAGAAAAAUACACAGAAAAUCACAUCACAUUUAAAGCAACAAAACUGAAAAAAAAAAUAAUCGAAGAAAAAAAUCAACCAAAAAACCCACAAAAAAAAAAAAUCCAAGCACAGAGCGCACCCCACAGAGCUCCCCACAGAAAAAAACAACAGAAAUAGACAAAUGAAAAAAACACACACAACACAGAAAUUAAAAUAGAGGAGAAAAACAAACAAACAGAAACAGAAAAAGAGAAAAUCAAAACCAAAAGACAAAAACAACCUCCAUAAGUACACAAAACGCACACAUAUGACAAGGAACAGAAACUGGAUCCGAUGUCAUGGCAAAGCAAAGCUGACAAGUGACUGUGGUGCAGGCCGAAAGCUUACCAUGUGUGCCUGGCAGGAGGAAAGGGCAGCUGCCGGGCACGGAUCAGCCAGCCAGCUGAGGAAAAGCCUCAAGGCCAUGGCAAGGAAAGAGGCAAGGGCACCCAGGAGGCGAGAAGCCAUCUGAGCCAUUCAGAAGGAAACAACAAGAGAAGGCAAGGGAAGCAAAGAAAAGUCAUUCAGAAAA
ensembl:lncRNA